rnacentral:lncRNA from 1 species
CUUUUCUACGUUGCGGGAAGGUUUGUUCUAUUUAGUUUUGUAAUAAAGGUAGCUCAGUUUUUGGGCCCGCACUGCUGUUGUGAGCUGUAACACUCAUUGCGAAGGUCCGCAGCUUCACUUCUGAAGCCUACCAGACCACGAACUCACCAGGAGGAACGAACAACUCCAGACAUGCCGCCUUAAGAGCUGUAACACUCACCGCAAAGGUUUGCAGCUUCACUUCUGAGCCAGCAAGACCACGAACCCACCAGAAGGAACAAACUCUGAGCACAUGGGAACAUCAGAAGCUUCAGGGACUGGAUCUGGAUAUGGACCAGAUAUCUCUAGCCACCAUGAUGGCACUGGCUCCUUCACCAGAUGAAACAAUACUUCAAAACAAGCCAGUGGAGCAGGUCACGCCACCCGACAACUCCUAGUUCCGCUGCCUCUUCUGCACUCCAAACUCUCUCUUCAAAAGCUCCUGGAUUCCCUCCACAAAUUGAAGAGUGGAAAUAUUUGCAAAUAACUACACUCACUUCUCCCCUUGCUAGCAUGGAUAAUAAAAC